GACGUAGGGCGCGAGCGUUGUCCGGAUUUAUUGGGCGUAAAGAGCUCGUAGGCGGCUUGUCGCGUCGUCCGUGAAAACCAGGGGCUCAACCCCUGGCUUGCGGUCGAUACGGGCAGGCUAGAGUUCGGUAGGGGAGUCUGGAAUUCCUGGUGUAGCGGUGAAAUGCGCAGAUAUCGGGAAGAACACCCGUGGCGAAGGCGGCUCUCUGGGCCGAUACUGACGCUGAGGAGCGAAAGCGUGGGUAGCAAACAGG
rnacentral:rRNA from 1 species